GGGUAGCAAUACACCGGCGUACGGGUGCGUAACGCGUAUGGAACCUGCCCUUAUCUGGGGGAUAACUCGGGGAAACUCGAGCUAAUACCGCAUAAGAUAGUAGAAUGGCAUCAUUCAGCUAUUAAAGAUUUAUUGGAUAAGGAUGGCCAUGCGUAAGAUUAGAUAGUUGGCGAGGUAACGGCUCACCAAGUCUACGAUCUUUAGGGGCUCUGAGAGGAGAAUCCCCCACACUGGCACUGAGAUACGGGCCAGACUCCUACGGGAGGCAGCAGUAGGGAAUAUUGGGCAAUGGGCGAAAGCCUGACCCAGCCACGCCGCGUGCAGGAAGACGGCCCUCUGGGUUGUAAACUGCUUUUAACUGGGAAGAAAAGAGGCCUUGCGAGGCAAGUUGACGGUACCAGUUGAAUAAGCCACGGCUAACUACGUGCCAGCAGCCGCGGUAAUACGUAGGUGGCGAGCGUUAUCCGGAUUUAUUGGGUUUAAAGGGAGCGUAGGCGGCUGAUUAAGUCAGCGGUGAAAGGUAGCAGCUUAACUGUUUUACAUGCCGUUGAUACUGGUUAGCUUGAGUUGACAGAAGGCAGAUAGAAUUCCUGAUGUAGCGGUGAAAUGCUUAGAUAUCAGGAGGAAUACCGAUUGCGAAGGCAGUCUGCUGCAGUCACACUGACGCUGAGGCUCGAAGGUGCGGGGAUCAAACAGGAUUAGAUACCCUGGUAGUCCGCACAGUAAACGAUGAUUACUAGAUGUUGGCCAAGCCAGUGUCCAAGGGAAACCGAUAAGUAAUC
rnacentral:rRNA from 1 species